CGAACCGGUGGGAGCUGCUCCUCUGGGGUAAAUCCGGCUCUGCUGGGGGCAGAUGGGGGCAAAAACACCCAAAACUGGAAUGAAUUCAAUAUUUCACCCUUUUACUUUAUUACUUAAACUUUUAACUUCAUUAUUUAACAUUUUUAUUUCAAUAUUUAACCCUUUUACUUCAUUAUUUAACCCUUUUACUUCAUGAAUUAACUUUUAUUUCAUUCUUUACCCCUUUUCCCCUCCCUCUCCUCCUCAAGCAGCUGCUUUGAACCAAAAAACCCCUUUUUCACGGUAAACCUCCCCCCCCCCAACAAAACCACUUUAAGGAAAAACCCUCCUAAUUUGGGGAAGUUUAUGUUUGAAAAUGGACAUUUUAAGUGUUAGAAACUCCGAAAUCUUCAUUUAACAAUGAAAAAUGGUGGAAAAUAGAGGGCAGGGAGGAAAGGACUCUCCCCCCCCCCCUUUUACCUCAGGGAAAGGCUCCUAUGGGAAGAGGCUGCUUUGGAUCUGUGGAGGAAAUAAAUCAUUUAUGGAUUAAAGGCAUUAAAUGGGGUUUAUUUUAUUGGGGGGUUGGGUAUUUCUGCCCCGGUGAGGCGCUUUGGCCGAGCGCCGCCAUUUUGAGGAGCCGCGGCCGCCAUUUUGAGGCUUCUUCCUGCCUCCCUUCCGCCAUUUCCUGAGAGCCGCGGAACCCGCAUCCCAACCCCCGUUUCCCGGUGGGAAGAGACGGAGCCAUUGCGCCCACCCCUGCGGCAACGCUGAGGAAUUGCAUCUGGAACCAUUCCCGGUGCUUCCCGAAUGCUUCAUGGGCUCUGUCAGUGCCUUCAAUUCACCCCAAUGGGGUUCGGGGGGGAGGGUUCAUCCUUCCCAAUGCUCCUGGAUCCCAUCCGGAAAUGAAGGAUUGGGGCCAUGACUCAGCAGGGCCUGGAAAUGCUGUGAAAAAAGGAGGCUUGGAGCAGGCAGGAAGGGAAAGGAGCCCAUGGAGACGGCGGAGGAGAGGAUGGAGGCAAGAGGCAGAGGAGCGAAUAGGAACAGAGAGGAACAAGAGAGAAGAAAUAGGAAAAGACAAGAAAUAGAGAAAAACCAAGAAAGAAAUAGAGAAACAAGAAAUAGAGAAAAAAUUAAAACCAAGAAAUAAAGACAAGAAAUAGAGAAAAAAUAGAAAAAAA
rnacentral:lncRNA from 14 species